GCAUGGAUGAAUUCUGCAUUAACUUCGCUUAUAGUUUGUGCAGUCAGACACCAUGCUAAAGUAAAUUGCUCCCUUUUUAAAUGUUUUGUGAUGUGCUGUCAUUCUUGGCUUGCACGUCCAAAUGAGGAGCUCACAGAC